GGAGAUGUAAUUAUAAAAAAGUCCUCAUCCUGACACCCAACACUGGCCCUGAGUCUAAAAGGAGGACCGUAGAAUCCAAGGACAGAGCUUUUACAUCUUAUGAAACCAUCUUCUCCUCCUCCUCCCGUUAAAUCAGCAUCUAUCUGAAUCAGAUCUCUGCUGCACACAGACGUUCAGAUGGUUUUACAUGUCAGCCUGAUCUCUGACCGGUUUUUCCUCAUGUGAGGGGUACAUGACGGGUUUCUAUCACCAGGAGAAAAACGGCCAACACAUCCUCACAAAGCCUGGAUAUCAACAAGUGUUUGUGUUUCAUUCAGCAGGAGGAAAAAGGAGAAGACGGCAGAGUCAACAACAAACAGCUGUUUUUGUCAGACGUGGAUUUAUCUUCAUUUUUGGUCUGAGAGCAGCUGCCUCUGUUAAAGGUGUUGUAGUCAGGAUCUGAGUUAGUUCCAGUUUUUAGGAGAAAUCUUGAACGUAAACUCUACCCCUCCCAACCAGUUUUCCCCUCAGCUCCUCCUCUUAAGCCCCGCCCACAAACAGACGCUCCUGCUCGCUCGUAUCGAUCCAGUUAAAUUCAGAUAUAAUGCAGAUAAAUACUUCAGAUCAUUACAAAUGGGGCCCAGUCAAGGUGAAAGUCAAAAGCAUUGGUGCGACUGUAGAUGCCAACAGACUACCAGCAAACACAAUGUUUGCAGGACUUCUACAACGAGGAUAAAGUGACAUAGUCCAGGACCCGAGGGAGGACGGUUUAGCGAUGGUGCUACAACACGCUACAGCAGGUCCGUUUGACAAGAAACACUUCUGUUACAGACACUUGUCUUACUUUGUUAAAGCGGUUUACCUGUCCAGCAGAAAGGUUACAGGGUCACCAAGAUCCCCAAGCGUCCCCCAUCGUUUAUGUUGACCCGGCUUUUUAGCUCUUGUCCGGUCUACCUCCGUUUUAAGCGCCCGUUAUUCCUCCAGAGUCUCCGGUAUUUACUUUGUUUUCUUGCUUGUGUCGGCAGUCGUGGCCAAAGGAGGAUUCAGACAAUUUUCCGAACUUUCUGGUUGGUUUCUACUGUCCGAUAUUGUAGCACGCUAACUUCGUUUGGGCUCCUGAACGACACGGGGGAGCAGCGUCUGCCUCACAACCAAUCAGGUUAGAGGAGGUGGAGAACGGCUUUGUUUACAGUCAGAAAGAGCGGACCGCUCAAAAAUGUUCAGAUGUUGAUGACACAGACAUAAGAGAACACAGAGAUAUCGAUAUAUUACCAAAUAAUCAAUAACUAAUAACUAUUGACUGAUAUUUGAAGAUUCUUCUUUAACAGACUCCUGUCUAACCCCUCCUUUAAGUUGAACGGUGAAUCAACAGGCCUCCAAACUCCACCCCCACCUCGACCCGUCCACACUGCUGUUCCUCCCUCCGUUCUCCCCCCACUCUGCUGCGGGCUGCCGUCUGAUCAUUAAGGUCAUCGACCUGAAAUCUGAUCGCAGUCAGUGAGCUCACCAAAUGAGCCACCUAAUAUCUGAAUCCUGCUGCAAGCCCAGCCUCUCAAUGAUGCUGUGUACAUUAACCACAUUAACACACACACACACACACAGAAACCUUAUCUAUCACUGAACACUGAGAUUUCUCCUCCUGUUGUACCAGACUCAGCUGUGCUGCAAUUCAUCAUCUUUUAUUUAGAAGAUGUACCGAGACCCGCGACGCUGCGAGGAUGAAAUGUGUCUGUAGAAUAAAUUGUGAAUAUUCUGUUUUCUCUGUAUUUCAAUCCCUGCUGUCAUUAUGAUGCUGCCAGAAUCCCCUGGCAGGCGCGAGGAGGUUUGGGACUUUUAAGCCGUUUGUUUCAUCUCAGGUAUUAACCCCAAUUUUAUACCUACGCAGAGAGAUAAUCAUGGUUUCAAGCUGUUAGUGUUUUCUUCACACAGCAAAUCUGCACACUUUUAAUCCCUGGAAACUAAUUAAGAUUUAUAUAAUCAUCAUUUUCGCCAGUUUUCGUUUAGUCACUCAGUGCGUGUGUGUGUGUGUGUGUGUGUGUGUGUGUGUGUGUGUGUGUGUGUGUGAGUAUGAGUGUGUGUGUGUGUGUGUGUGUGUGUGUGUGUGUGUGUGUGUGUGUGUGUGUGUGAGGAUAGGAGAAAAAAGCAGCAGAAGAAGAGAGAAGCAUGUGGAAAAGCGACGCGUUGGAGUGAAUGAAGGUGGAGCGUUGGACAAGGCUUUCUUUAUGUGUGUGUGUGUGUGUGUGUGUGUGAGUGUGGAGGGGCUUCAUGCUGCUGCAGAGCUUUGGGUGGGCACUGACUGACCAACCUCCUGAACCCCCUAACACACACACACACACACACUCACACACACACACACACACACACACUCCCCUGUCAGACCCUGGAAAUACCUCACAUUCCUUCCUCUUGGCUGACUGCUUCAGCUUCGCCCAGCAGAGAUAACAAAGGAACAGGCGGGCGGCCCUGAAAACCAGCUCACGGUCCGACUGCUCGGCCCGGUUCAGAACUUAUCGGGUCCAUCCUGAGCAGAGAUGUCACCGAGGGUUCAGCUAAUGAGAUGGUCUGAAGUGAACAUCGGAGCGGCUCACCUGUGAAUCUCAUUUCACUGAAACUCCAUCCUGCAGCAGCAGAACCGUGCUGGCCCGUCCUCAGACCCGGGCCCGGACUCAAACCUCCUGCAGCUCCAGCUCUACCGCUCUCCCCUGGGAUGAGGUUUUCUCUUUCUGCCGGGCUCAGGUUGCCGGAUCAUGUGUCCUGGAUUCCCUGGGUCUCUCUCCUCCUGUUUCACCUCCUCUUGGCUCCGGUCAUCCACACUAUUCACCCCUCUGCGUCUUCAUCAGGCCCACAAAGAGGACCGGCUCACAGAUGCACUGCUGCUCAUUCAGCUCUGUGUUUGGGUCCACUGAUGCACAAUCAAGAUCGAAUCCACGAUAUUGCUCCAACAGGAGGCGGCAGAUUGGUUUCCAGGGUCCACUUCAUUAGGGUGUAAGAGGAGAGCCUCACCCCCGUCAGUCAGCUGAUGCUCCAGCUGAAGUCCCUCAGAGCUGCCUGUGGACCAGGAGAAACUGGUCUGACCCAGGAGGCGCACAGAGCCGGGAAGAGUGCUCCCCAAAGAGACAGCGGGUCGAAAUCAGCUGUGAUUGAACCUUCGCCAACCAAUGAAAACACAGUCUGUAUUUACUCUGGACUCCUCGGUUCCUCCUUCCUCCAGUUUGAGGAUUUGAAGCCGAAACGUUCUCAGUAAUUCUGCGUUUUUUCUCCAUUUCCUGAAACCAACAUUGAGCAGUCGUGUUGUACGUUUUCAGUGUGAGAGUCUCUGUGAUGACACUCGGCUCAAACAGCAUAUCCCCCGGUGAUCUACUCAAUCUCUGUCCUCCCAUUGGCUGUAUCAGGUGUCAAUCAUAGAAAACAUGAACCCCCUAAUAACUUUUAAAAAUGGAGCUGUACAGAAAAAAGAGGACUUGAGCACAAACCAGUCCUUGUGAACCAAAAUGAUACCAGAACAUAAGAAAGACAAGAAUCAGAACCUGACCUUCAAAAAUGUCUUCAUCAGGAUCCGGCCCAGUGGUCCGGUCUGACUCAUUCUGGUUUUACAGAUCUUCACUAACAUAGAUAACCAGGAUCAAACCUCAUGGUUACGGCUGGGCGAUAAAACGAUAACGAUACAUAUCGAAAAUUAAUUUCCCUCAAUAUCGAUGUAAAACAUGAUCAAUAUCCUUUUCAAUAGUCGUCAUUCUGACAUGUUUUGGUCGACUAUACGAACAGCCAAUGAAAAGGGGAGUUUCUCCGGGUCUGAACCAAUCAUGUUCUGAAUUAGAACCAAGUAUCAACCAACUGCAGCAAAGUCGUAGCAGACAGCAGCUCCACCCAACCAUAGCACUUUAACAGGUGAAGCCGACAGCACUGUUGGUGAGAAACAAAGAAAAUGAGUGCUACCCCCGACAGAAAUGACCAUGAAGGCUCAACAGAUGACCACAUCAAUGUCAACCACAACACUGGCGUUAGGAAAACGUCGGUGGUGUGGAGGUAUUUUGGUUUUUGGAGGUCGGACAUGAAGCAGAGUAAUGUGGACUGUAAAUUAUGUCGAGUACAUGUUCUCACAAAGUCGGGGAAUACCUCAAAUCUUUUUCACCACCUGAAGCAGCGCCACGCCGCAGAGCACGCGCAACGCAAAAGGUUACGAACCCCGAGAGGAGCGAGGAGCCCAUGGCGCCUGAAACAGACGACCAUUCAGUCGUCUUUCUCUAGAGCGACGCCUUACGACAAAACGCCAAAGAGACACAAAGACCUCACAGAUGCAGGAGAUGAUUGUGUUGGAAAAGACAUGAGACCAAUAAACACUGUUAGAUUUUUAGAUCCUGAUAUUGAUCCAUAUCAGCUGAUAGGAAAUAAUAUAUCAUGAUAAACUUUCUCCCGUAUCGCCCAGCCCUGUCAUGGUCGCCUACAACAGUUUCAGAGUCCCCAGUCUGGGGGUCUGGGGGUCUGGACCUCCUUAUUGAGGUUACAGGAUGACUGUCUGUGAAUGAUCCAGUCUGAAAACCGUCCUCUGGUUUCACUGUGAGGUCACAAACACCACCGCCGUUUCUGUGUGAGUGAAGAAACGCCGUUUCCCAGCAUCCUCGGUGACCUUCCAGUAUCCGAGGAGACAGACAGACAGGAGGAGUCGCUCAGAUUUGGGUGAAUUUUGGAGGCGUGUGAAGAAAUUAGGAUGGAGGCUAACACGGCGUGGUGAGCCCAGCAGGAGGCUGGGUCCCCGGGGAGGGGUUUCCGAUUAUGGGCACACCCCAGGGCGAGACAGACAGGCAGAGCCACGCCGGGUUAACAUGACGGUAACAGCAGCAGGCAUCAGCCUCGCCCGCUCUCCUCGCCACGUCCUUGUGGAAAUGCCAGACCUUUGGGUGUGGCGGAUCGGGUUCUCUGGGACACAGUGGGUGGGUUCCUGUGGUGCUAACGUGGUCCGGCGGUAAUCCCACAUGGCACGGGCAAAGCCCCAGGUAGUGUUUAAGGAGAGCGGCGGCGGCAGCUCUGUGUCACGGCGAGCCGGGGCUAAUGUGUCAGCUGGGUGUUUCCCCGAAUCAGCCUCGGCCUAUAGCGGGCGGCCCUCAACCACGACGGUCUGCUGAAGAUGACAUAUGCUGAAGGCAGAGUGUGUGUGUGUGUGUGUGUGUGUGUGUGUGUGUGUGUGUGUGUGUGUGUGUGUGUGUGUGUGUGUGUGUGUGUGUGUGUGUGGUGGGCGCUCUCACUGAUGGUGAUGCAGUCCAGACAUCUUUAUUUAAAGCUGAUGUGGUUAAGGUCGCCUCCUAAGCCGCCCUCUCCACGCCUCUGUGGUCUAAGCUGGUGUGAAGAGGUGUGCUAAUCGCUCAGUCGUGUCUGCGUGCGAGCCGAGCGCCAGCUUUCCCCGCAGCCCGCCAAUUUGAUCACAGCUGAUUAGAGACGCAACGGCUGCCCACGCGCCAAACAGGUAGAUUAGUGCUGGAUGGACGGACGGAUGGAGGUUCGGCUGUUCGCUCUGAAGUGUUUCAGAGACCGGCUCAGAGCUUCUGGGUCCAUGAGACCCGGAUCUGAAAUCCAGCAGCAGUCAUCCUCCCUCCUCCUCUCGGAGCGGCGGCGGCGGCGGCGGCUGAUGGCGCUGCCUCGGGCCUGUUGUGACUGGAUGCUGCCGUCCAAGCCUGCAUGUCAGUGUGAGACGGGCUCUCCCUGACCUCUCCAGCGCUGGGGGCCUCCCAGCCCUGAGGAGGGGCCCCCCUGCUCCAUCACAUCCCUUCCAAUUACUGACAUCCUGCCGCCUUUGAACACACAGGAAUCAUGGCGAAGAACAGCAGAGGUCAGACUGCAGAUGGAGAGGGGUGGAAACAGCAGAGUCCGAGUCAGAGCGAAAGAAAGAGAAAAGGGGGGAAGAACGCUGAAAAGCUAUUUGUGUCAUUGAUGCCUCUGUGGCCCCUCCACCUCCUCCACCUCCUCCUCCUCCUCCUCCAUCCUUUUCAAGGCUCCUCACUCAACCCUAAUCAGGAGCAACUGUUUCAACAACAAA
rnacentral:lncRNA from 1 species